rnacentral:rRNA from 1 species
UACGUAGGGUGCGAGCGUUGUCCGGAAUUAUUGGGCGUAAAGAGCUUGUAGGCGGUUUGUCGCGUCUGCUGUGAAAUUUCGGGGCUCAACCCCGAACUUGCAGUGGGUACGGGCAGACUAGAGUGUGGUAGGGGAGACUGGAAUUCCUGGUGUAGCGGUGAAAUGCGCAGAUAUCAGGAGGAACACCGAUGGCGAAGGCAGGUCUCUGGGCCACUACUGACGCUGAGAAGCGAAAGCAUGGGGGAGCGA